GGGUCUAUGAUGACAAACCAAUUUCACACAGAGUGGUGAUGACAUAAAAAUCAUUCUAAAGGAUGGGGAAGAAAUGGGGGCCU
rnacentral:snoRNA from 1 species